rnacentral:lncRNA from 1 species
AUGGACUGGAAUUGGAGGAUCCUGUUUUUGGUGGUCAUAGCUGCGGGUAGGAUAAUUCUCAGUCCCCAGGACUAAGGUGACUGGGUCCAGUAAAAGAGGGUUUUAUCCACUCCUGUGUCCUCUCCACAGGUGCCCAGUCCCAGGUACAGCUGGUGCAGUCUGGGGCUGAGGUGAAGAAGCCUGGGGCCUCAGUGAAGGUCUCCUGCAAGGCUUCUGGAUACACCAUCACCAGCUACUGUAUGCACUGGGUGCACCAGGUCCAUGCACAAGGGCUUGAGUGGAUGGGAUUGGUGUGCCCUAGUGAUGGCAGCACAAGCUAUGCACAGAAGUUCCAGGCCAGAGUCACCAUA